AUGUAGAAUGACGCUGGUGAGUUCGUGGACCUGUACUUGGCGCGGAAAUGCUCCGCCAGCAACCACAUCAUCGGUGGCAAGGACCACGCAUCCAUCCAGAUGAACGUGGCCGAGGCUGACAAGGUCACAGGCAGGUUUAAUGGCCAGUUUAAAACUUACGCUAUCUGCGGGGCCAUAUGUAGGAUGGGUGAGUCAGAUGAUUCCAUUCUCUGAUUGGCCAAGGCUGAUGGCACCGUCUCAAAACACUUUUGAUUGGAGAGAAUCACAGAUGUGGAGUAUUUGUCAUAAAUAGUGAAACCC